rnacentral:rRNA from 1 species
CGGCGGACGGGUGAGUAACACGUGGAUAACCUACCUAUAAGACUGGGAUAACUUCGGGAAACCGGAGCUAAUACCGGAUAAUAUAUUGAACCGCAUGGUUCAAUAGUGAAAGACGGUUUUGCUGUCACUUAUAGAUGGAUCCGCGCCGCAUUAGCUAGUUGGUAAGGUAACGGCUUACCAAGGCAACGAUGCGUAGCCGACCUGAGAGGGUGAUCGGCAACACUGGAACUGAGACACGGUCCAGACUCCUACGGGAGGCAGCAGUC